rnacentral:pre_miRNA from 1 species
AUCUUACUCCCUCCGUUCGGAAUUACUUGUCUCGGAAAUGGAUGUAUCUGGAACUAAAAUACAUCUAGAUACAUCCAUUUCCGCGACAAGUAAUUCCGAAUGGAGGGAGUAUAUU